rnacentral:rRNA from 1 species
CGUGGGCAAUCUGCCCUGCACUCUGGGACAAGCCCUGGAAACGGGGUCUAAUACCGGAUAUUGACCUUCACGGGCAUCUGUGAGGUUCGAAAGCUCCGGCGGUGCAGGAUGAGCCCGCGGCCUAUCAGCUUGUUGGUGAGGUAAUGGCUCACCAAGGCGACGACGGGUAGCCGGCCUGAGAGGGCGACCGGCCACACUGGGACUGAGACACGGCCCAGACUCCUACGGGAGGCAGCAGUGGGGAAUAUUGCACAAUGGGCGAAAGCCUGAUGCAGCGACGCCGCGUGAGGGAUGACGGCCUUCGGGUUGUAAACCUCUUUCAGCAGGGAAGAAGCGAAAGUGACGGUACCUGCAGAAGAAGCGCCGGCUAACUACGUGCCAGCAGCCGCGGUAAUACGUAGGGCGCAAGCGUUGUCCGGAAUUAUUGGGCGUAAAGAGCUCGUAGGCGGCUUGUCACGUCGGUUGUGAAAGCCCGGGGCUUAACCCCGGGUCUGCAGUCGAUACGGGCA